rnacentral:rRNA from 1 species
AUGCCAGACUCCUACGGGAGGCAGCAGUGGGGGAUAUUGCACAAUGGGGGGAACCCUGAUGCAGCGACGCCGCGUGGGUGAAGAAGCGCCUCGGCGCGUAAAGCCCUGUCAGCAGGGAAGAAAAUGACGGUACCUGAAGAAGAAGCCCCGGCUAACUACGUGCCAGCAGCCGCGGUAAUACGUAGGGGGCAAGCGUUAUCCGGAUUUACUGGGUGUAAAGGGGGCGCAGACGGCAGCGCAAGCCAGGAGUGAAAGCCCGGGGCCCAACCCCGGGACUGCUCUUGGAACUGCAUGGCUGGAGUACAGGAGGGGCCGGCGGAAUUCCUAGUGUAGCGGUGAAAUGCGUAGAUAUUAGGAGGAACACCAGUGGCGAAGGCGGCCUGCUGGACGACAACUGACGGUGAGGCGCGAAAGCGUGGGGAGCAAACAGGAUUAGAUACCCUUGUA